rnacentral:rRNA from 1 species
CCCUUAGAUGUCCUGGGCUGCACACGUGCUACACUGGCAGGUUCAGCGAGCUUCAUGCCCUGAUCUGAAAGGAAUGGGAAAUCUUUUCAAAACCUGCCGUGCUUGGGAUAGAUGUUUGCAAUUAUUCAUCUUCAACGAGGAUUGCCUUGUAAGCGCACGUCAUCAGCGUGCAUUGAAUACGACCCUGUAUUCUGUACACACCGCCCGUCGCUCCUACCGAUUGAAGUUUUCGGUGAGUUGACAGGAGGAUUUUUUUGAAACUGGUUCGCCAGUGGAUUUUAGAUCCAAAUGCCAACGAAUCGAUGGCUUUAGAGGAAGGAGAAGUCGUAACA